rnacentral:lncRNA from 1 species
AACUAUGACUCAUAAUUGGAUGAUGUCAUCCAAGGAGGGUGUAUAACCUCAGAGUAAGAGGAGAAAAAGGCCAAGGGUGGUGGAGCGUUUAGGAGUCUCAACAUGUAAAGGGUGGUUGGAGUUUCAAAGAGCUGAGAAAGAACUUGACGAGGGAUGGCAGAGAGACACUGAAGAAUGAGCUGUAGAAAGAACAGAGAGUUAGAAGCUAGAAAAGUACAUGGAGAACCAUACAACUGUGGUGUCAUAAAAGGUAAGGGAAGAAAGAGUUCCUGAAAAAGGAAGUGUGUAUGGAGGUAGUGAAUAGAAUGAUAGGUAUGAGAGGCUGGGAAGAGUGUGCAGGUGGGAGGUGGGCAUGAAGACAGGUUGGUAAACUGGACAUACAUACAGUUAGAUAGAAGAUAUAAAUUCUAAUGUUGAAUAGCAGAGUAGGGUGACUAUAGUUGGCAGCAAUGUAGUGUAUAUUUCAAAGCCACUAGAAGAGGAAACUUAAGUUGUUUCCA